rnacentral:rRNA from 1 species
CCUACGGGGUGCAGCAGUGGGGGAUAUUGGACAAUGGGGGAAACCCUGAUCCAGCGACGCCGCGUGAGUGAAGAAGUAUUUCGGUAUGUAAAGCUCUAUCAGCAGGGAAGAAAGAAAUGACGGUACCUGAGUAAGAAGCCCCGGCUAACUACGUGCCAGCAGCCGCGGUAAUACGUAGGGGGCAAGCGUUAUCCGGAAUUACUGGGUGUAAAGGGAGCGUAGACGGUUACGCAAGUCUGAAGUGAAAGCCCAAGGCUCAACCAUGGGACUGCUUUGGAAACUGUAAAACUGGAGUGCAGGAGAGGUAAGCGGAAUUCCUAGUGUAGCGGUGAAAUGCGUAGAUAUUAGGAGGAACACCAGUGGCGAAGGCGGCGUACUGGACUGUAACUGACGUUGAGGCUCGAAGGCGUGGGGAGCAAAGGGAUUAGAUACCCGAGUAGUC